rnacentral:rRNA from 1 species
GAUCCUGGCUCAGGAUGAACGCUAGCUACAGGCUUAACACAUGCAAGUCGAGGGGCAGCAUGGUCUUAGCUUGCUAAGGCCGAUGGCGGCCGGCGCACGGGUGAGUAACGCGUAUCCAACCUGCCUUACACUCUUGGACAGCCUUCUGAAAGGUAGAUUAAUACAAGAUGUUAUCAUGAGUAAGCAUUUUCGCAUGAUUAAAGGUUUACCGGUGUAAGAUGGGGAUGCGUCCCA